rnacentral:rRNA from 1 species
ACGUAGGGAGCGAGCGUUGUCCGGAUUUACUGGGUGUAAAGGGUGCGUAGGCGGAUUGGCAAGUCAGAAGUGAAAUCCAUGGGCUUAACCCAUGAACUGCUUUUGAAACUGUUAGUCUUGAGUGAAGUAGAGGUAGGCGGAAUUCCCGGUGUAGCGGUGAAAUGCGUAGAGAUCGGGAGGAACACCAGUGGCGAAGGCGGCCUACUGGGCUUUAACUGACGCUGAGGCACGAAAGUGUGGGUAGCAAACAG